rnacentral:lncRNA from 1 species
CCCCAUUUCUCCCACUCCACAUGCUCCAAGGUCACUUGCAGCACUUCUGCAGAAGAGAAUAGCAGACGGGAAUAUUAAGUGUCAGAAGAAAAAAUCUGAGCACUACCAUGAAUAGAGAGAUAAUUCUAAGAAAAAUCAUGAGCUACUCACCACCAAUAAUCUCCAGUUCCCUGCCAGGAGUUACAGAAAAGCCCUCUAAUAGUGCCCCUACUCUCUCAUCAAUAUGAUGUUCGAGAGAAGGUUCAGCUGCAGUCAAAUUAUCCCCAUGACAUGGUACAAUCUCUGAUGAAGGAGGAAAAGUAUCCACAGCUACCUGGUCAUUAAGUUGAGCUAGAUCACACUUAUCUUCCAAGACAUUACCAGAAGCCUCGGGAGGGCUCACCAUCUGUGUAACUACAUCUGAAACAACUGAUGGAAAAUUUACAGUUGCCAUAGGAGAAACUGCAUUCUCAACAGUAACCCACCUUUCACUAUCUGCGUGUUUGACAAAGUGGUCAGCCACAAUAUAUCCUUCUUCCACCAGUGACUUUAGCUUGCAUAAUCUGGAAGGUCCUUGUUCCACACCAAACUGAUCGACAUAAUACCACUUUCCAAUGGUUCCUUCUGCUACAGUUGUAACAUGUGGUGGGGUAUUGCAUAUAUCCAUGUCUUCUUCCAUAGAUGCCGCCUCCUCAACAGCUCCACUUUCCUCUGAAGGCUCCAAGGCAUUCACUGCAGGACAUUGAGGCAAACCAUCAUUGUUUACUGGAUGGUUGCCACUUUUAACAAUUGAGCAGUUACUAUUUUCAGGACAGCUUCUAACCUCAGAAUCCUUAGCAAAUUGAUCUUUCAUACUGACAUCCUUUUGGCUGCUGAACUUUCCUUCAUGCUUUUUGCCUUCAAAAUGACUUUCCUUUUUAUCACUUGGUCCACUUUUCCGACCUGUGUCUCGAUGAUAAGUAGUCCUACUCCGAUCACGUGGGGACGGCUCCAUGAAGUUUGGUGUCCUGUCCCUCCUAUGAUGGUGGCGGCCUUGAUCUUGUGGGGACCACUCUGAAUAACUUGGGCUCCGGCUUCUAUGAUCAUAAUGACGACUCCGGUCAUAAGGAGACCUACUGUGAUCAAAGUUACGGCCUCGAUCAUAGGGAGACUUCUCACGGCGGGCUGGGCUUCGAUCCCAGUUAUCAAGAUGGCGGGCCCGGUCACGUGGGGACCUCUCCAAAUGACGAGGACUGCUAUUAAGUCUGUCAUAAGGAACUUUAGAUGUCUCAUAAUGCCUGGAAGAAUACCUGUCAGGUGGAAUGUUCCUAUUAGAAGGAGCAUUCUUGUGCAACUUCUCAGUAGAACGCCGCAAACUGUGAUCUGCUGUGUAUACAGCUCGACUUCCAUCAUCAGAAAGUUUCCUGCUUUUUGAACUUGAGAAGUCAUCAUACUCACCCCGGAACUUACGGUCAUUUUUAUCUGAAUCAGUACCAUGCCGUUUUAACCUAUUACCUGAGAAGUAUUCUCUUGCAGGAUUAUUGCCAUUUCUCAGUUCGCUCUUGGAAGGACCUUCUUCUCCAACAAUCUUGGAACUAAUCCUUGGGUUCCUUUCUGGAAUGCUAGGUUCAUAUCUAGAUAACCUCUUCAUAUGCUGAAUUCCACCACUUCUACCACCAUCUUUCUCCCCAGAAUGCUUACCUGAGGAAGGUGGUGUCCAUUCAUGGUCAUUUCUCCAUCCUUUGUCCUUGGCCGAAGGUGGCGUCCAUUCACGGUCAUUUCUCCAUCCUCUGUCCUUGGCCAAAGGUGGUGUCCAUUCAAGAUCAUUUCUCCACCCUUUGUCCUUGGCCAAAGGUGGUGUCCAUUCACGAUCAUUUCUCCAUCCUUUGUCCUUGACCGAAGGUGGCGUCCAUUCACGGUCAUUUCUCCAUCCUCUGUCCUUGGCCAAAGGUGGUGUCCAUUCAAGAUCAUUUCUCCCCCCUUUGUCCUUGGCCAAAGGUGGUGUCCAUUCAUGGUCAUUUCUCCAUCCUCUGUCCUUGGCCAAAGGUGGUGUCCAUUCAUGGUCAUUUCUCCAUCCUCUGUCCUUGGCCAAAGGUGGUGUCCAUUCAAGAUCAUUUCUCCCCCCUUUGUCCUUGGCCAAAGGUGGUGUCCAUUCAAGAUCAUUUCUCCCCCCUUUGUCCUUGGCCAAAGGUGGUGUCCAUUCAAGAUCAUUUCUCCACCCUUUGUCCUUGGCCAAAGGUGGUGUCCAUUCAAGAUCAUUUCUCCACCCUUUGUCCUUGGCCAAAGGUGGUGUCCAUUCAAGAUCAUUUCUCCCCCCUUUGUCCUUGGCCAAAGGUGGUGUCCAUUCAUGGUCAUUUCUCCAUCCUCUGUCCUUGGCCAAAGGUGGUGUCCAUUCAAGAUCAUUUCUCCCCCCUUUGUCCUUGGCCAAAGGUGGUGUCCAUUCAUGGUCAUUUCUCCAUCCUCUGUCCUUGGCCAAAGGUGGUGUCCAUUCACGAUCAAUUUCUCCAUCCUUUGUCCUUGACCGAAGGUGGCGUCCAGUCUAGGUCUCCUUUCCAACCCUUGUCUUUACCAAAAUCAUACCUGCGUGUUCUGCUAUAGUUAAAAUCAUCCCUUGCUGAGCCCUCACCUUUCCGCCACCUAUCAGGUACAAAUUCACCUGGUUCAUAACCAGG